GACGUAGGGCGCGAGCGUUGUCCGGAUUUAUUGGGCGUAAAGAGCUCGUAGGCUGCUUGUUGCGUCGACUGUGAAAACCCGCGGCUUAACUGCGGGCUUGCAGUUGAUACGGGCAGGCUAGAGUUCGGUAGGGGAGACUGGAAUUCCUGGUGUAGCGGUGAAAUGCGCAGAUAUCAGGAGGAACACCAAUGGCGAAGGCAGCUCGCUGGAACGGUACUGACGCUGAGGCGCGAAAGCGUGGGGAGCAAACAGG
rnacentral:rRNA from 1 species